rnacentral:rRNA from 1 species
AUAUCAAUAAGCGGAGGAAAAGAAACCAACAGGGAUUGCCCCAGUAACGGCGAGUGAAGCGGCAACAGCUCAAAUUUGAAAUCUGGCCCCCAGGGUCCGAGUUGUAAUUUGUAGAGGAUGCUUUUGGUGAGGUGCCGCCCGAGUUCCCUGGAACGGGACGCCGCAGAGGGUGAGAGCCCCGUCUGGCUGGCCGCCGAGCCUCUGUAAAGCUCCUUCGACGAGUCGAGUAGUUUGGGAAUGCUGCUCAAAAUGGGAGGUAUAUGUCUUCUAAAGCUAAAUAUUGGCCAGAGACCGAUAGCGCACAAGUAGAGUGAUCGAAAGAUGAAAAGCACCUUGAAAAGAGGGUUAAACAGUACGUGAAAUUGUUGAAAGGGAAGCGCUUGUGACCAGACUUGGGCGCGGCGAAUCAUCCGGGGUUCUCUCCGGUGCACUUCGCCGCGUCCGGGCCAGCAUCAGUUCGGCGCGGGGGAAAAAGGCUUCGGGAACGUGGCUGCUCCGGCAGUGUUAUAGCCCGCUGCACAAUACCCUGCGCUGGACUGAGGACCGCGCAUCUGCAAGGAUGCUGGCGUAAUGGUCACCAGCGACCCGUCUUGAAACACGGACCAAGGAGUCGUCUUCGUAUGCGAGUGUUCGGGUGUCAAACCCCUACGCGUAAUGAAAGUGAACGCAGGUGAGAGCUUCGGCGCAUCAUCGACCGAUCCUGAUGUUCUCGGAUGGAUUUGAGUAAGAGCAUACGGGGCCGGACCCGAAAGAAGGUGAACUAUGCCUGUAUAGGGUGAAGCCAGAGGAAACUCUGGUGGAGGCUCGCAGCGGUUCUGACGUGCAAAUCGAUCGUCAAAUAUGGGCAUGGGGGCGAAAGACUAAUCGAACCUUCUAGUAGCUGGUUUCCGC